rnacentral:rRNA from 1 species
UCCUACGGGGCGCAGCAGUAGGGAAUCUUCCACAAUGGGCGAAAGCCUGAUGGAGCAACGCCGCGUGGGUGAAGAAGGUCUUCGGAUCGUAAAACCCUGUUGUUAGAGAAGAAAGUGCGUGAGAGUAACUGUUCACGUUUCGACGGUAUCUAACCAGAAAGCCACGGCUAACUACGUGCCAGCAGCCGCGGUAAUACGUAGGUGGCAAGCGUUAUCCGGAUUUAUUGGGCGUAAGGGGAAGGCAGGGGGCUUUUAAAG